GUGAGGAAUAUUGGGCAAUGGGCGCAAGCCUGACCCAGCCAUGCCGCGUGCAGGAAGACGGUCCUAUGGAUUGUAAACUGCUUUUAUACGGGAAGAAACACUCCCUCGUGAGGGAGCUUGACGGUACCGUAAGAAUAAGGAUCGGCUAACUCCGUGCCAGCAGCCGCGGUAAUACGGAGGAUCCAAGCGUUAUCCGGAAUCAUUGGGUUUAAAGGGUCCGUAGGCGGCCUUAUAAGUCAGUGGUGAAAUCCCAUCGCUCAACGAUGGAACUGCCAUUGAUACUGUAAGGCUUGAAUAAUUGUGAAGUAACUAGAAUAUGUAGUGUAGCGGUGAAAUGCUUAGAUAUUACAUGGAAUACCAAUUGCGAAGGCAGGUUACUAACAAUUGAUUGACGCUGAUGGACGAAAGCGUGGGGAGCGAACAGGAUUAGAUACCCGUGUAGUCC
rnacentral:rRNA from 1 species